GAUGUAAAGUUGGAAUGUUGAUUUUCAAAAUUUUAUUGGAAAGCUCAUUGUUUGGUCAUACUGAAGAUGUCUCCAGUUGCCUUACAAUGCAUGCUUUAAUCUUCUUCAAUAGUGGUCAAGAUAAUCUGGUGUUCCAAAUGAAAAAUGGAAUGAGAAGCAUCAAGUAUAAACCAGUAGACUAUCAACAGUUGCAUGCAUUAACAGAAGCAAAAAAAUUAGCGUCUGCCUCUAUAGAGCCUAAGAUCAGAAAAGCAGUGCAGAUUUCAAAGAUAUCUAAGGAACAAACACUAAUAAAACAACACAAGCAAGUGUGGUGGCAGGAGCAUCAAAGGCUAACUGAUGUCAGAUGUAAAAUGGAAUCUGAAAUAAAAUCUUUUCUCAAGAACAUUGGAAAUGAAUGUCUGUCUGACCUUAUAAAUUUUGAACAAGAGUUAUCAGAACAAUGGUGCAUGUAUCUUAAAAAUGUGAUAAAUCCUAUUCAGCAGUUGAGAACAGAUCUAAAAUACAGACAGCAUCAUAUUUCACAGCACUCAUACUCACAUAUUGAGCUUAAUGCAGUGAAAGUACUGGAAGAGGUUGAUUUCGUGAAGAAACAAUUGAAAGCUGUCUUUGAAAGACUUAGUCUGGAGCAACAGAAAAUAGAAAACUAUCUUUCAGACUGGAAUAUGAAGAUACUAGAUUAUUCUUCAGAAGAAAGAAGUAACCUGCUUAGUGAACUGCCCAUGGAAUUAGAAACAUUGGAAUGCCCAUACCCUGAUUUGAAAUCUUCAAUUCUUCAUGAGUUCUUUAACUUUACAGAGAAAUAUAAAAAGAAACUUCAAGAGUUUGAUUUGCAGUUAGAAGACAUAUCCAGAAAUUUCCAGUUAAGUGAAGAAGACCACUGGAUUUACCAGGCUGUUUUGGAUCAGUAUCCUGGAGAUCUCUGUGGCAGAAGGACUCUGUAUCUGAACAUGUUACAAAGAUAUUUUCCUCACAAAUCUAGGCAUGAUUUGGUGGAGCAUGAGAAAUAUUGUGAUCAAUAUCGCUUUGCUAGGGAGCAGCGAAGGAUCCUGAUAUCAAAUUGGAAUAAGAACAGGAGAGACUUUAUCCAGAAGGCUGUGCUGACCCUUGCGGAGGCCUGCGCAGCACAUGCAAUAGAGGGUACUUUGGCUAAGGACAGAAGAAAGCAACAGGAACUGUGUGCUCAUCUGAAAGCCAAGGUUCUUCAAUGGAGAGCUCACCAGGAAGAGAUAGCAAGACUGGAAAUGGAAAUUUCUGCCAGAAGAAGAGAAAAGGAGGAGGAGAAAGAGAAGCUAUGGAAGGAGAAAGAAUUGUUACAAAGAGCAGAGAAGAAAAAGAAAAUAAGAAAAUACUGGGCUAAAAAAGAGCAGAAGUGGCAAGAAAUGGAAAUGAGAGAUCUUCAGCGCCUGGAAGAACUGAAGAAAUUAAUGGCUGAACAAUCAGUGAAAGACCGAGAAAGGGUGAAAUAUAGACAAAAAUUACUGGAAAAGCGUUUGGUGGAGAAAAAAGAAGUGGCCCUUCAAGAAGCACAUGAAGAAGAGGAGAGAGAGAGGCGGCUAGAAGCCCUGAGGAAACAGGUUGCUAUUGUUGCUCAGUUUGACCCUGUUAGAAUGAUGUCAGACACAGCGGCAUCAAAAGCAAGGAUGGGUAUUGGAAUUGAAGAAGAAUUUAUUCUUCAAAAGCCGCUCUUUACACUGAAUACAUACAAUGAACACCAGGGAAGGAUUGGGCUGCACAGUUCUGAUAUCUGGCCAUGAAAUCCAAGCUGCUGUUGGAAGUUGGAGAUUAGAGGCUGAGGCCGUUGCUGGCAUUCCAUCGGAAUACAUGGGGCAAGCUGAUCUGGUCAAGAUGUGUCAUGUGGAUCACAGGAGCUAGAAGAGCAGGAUAACGAGAUCAGCAUAACAACAGCGACGUCCGGGUGUCCGUGGCCACACUUCGAGCAGCUUGUACACCUAUUGUACACCUAUUGCACAAAAGGGUCCAGGGGCUGGAGAUCCAGCAGAGGGAAAUGAAGUACAGUGGGUGAGUCGAGGUCAUCAUACAAGGAAGUCUUCCUGGUGAAGUGAGAUUUGUGGCGAGAGCUGAUGCUCAUCACAGAGAUCGGAAGCGGCCAUCCACGUGGACACAAGGUUGUCCUCCUUGUCCCAGGGGGAGGCAGGAAGAUCGACUUCGCAUCAGUCCAAAUUCAGUGAGUCACUCCUUUGAGGUAGUACAAUGGCUUCUAGAGACCCUUGUUACAUAAAAAGUCAUGUAUGGGGGGGCGCCUGGGUGCCUCAGUGGUUGGGCGUCCGCCUUGGGCUCUGGCCGUGCUCCCCAGGUCCAGGGAUCGAGUCCCGCGGGGGCCUGCUUCUCCCUCUGCCUGUGUCUCUGCCUCUCUCUGUGGGUCUUGGGGAUGAAUAAGUAAAAUCUUUAAGAAAAAAAGUUAUGUAUAAGUGAAGCCAUUAACCAUCAUCACCUGGUGGUGGUUUCCUGGUCGUCUGGCCCCCGCCUGUGGCUCUUACCCUCACUAGCUUGUGGAGACAAAAGGGCGUUACUGCUGACCUUCUAAAGAGGGUGCGGUGCAUUUGCACUCGUCCCCCACAUACUGCGGGGAUCUGCGUGUGCUGUAUUCUGAGAGAUGGGAGUAUUAGGCACAGUGGUUUUGCAAUUAAUCUCUUAGGAACUAUAACUUCUUUCUAAAAUGUCUUUUUAGAAAUGUUACCCCAUAUAUUUUGUUUGUGGUUUUAUAUAUUGAAGCUGAUUGACUAUAAGGUCAAAUAUUGGAAUUAAAAUUCUACCUGUGUUUAAAAGACACAUUAACAUGCUGUAAUUAUUGACUUCUUUGGAGGUUUCUAGGGACCAGGACACUAGACUCUCCAGGUGUACUGCCCAUCCCACUGGCCCCUCCUCCUUGGUCCUGGCUGGAUCUCCCUCACCUCCCCUAGCUUUCAGAUCUAACCAAAGACUUUUUCUCAUCUGCUUCUAGACUUAUUUGCUUUGUUAUCUCAUCCACUGCAUGCCUUUAUUUUUUUUAAGAUGUUAUUUAUUUAUUCAUGAGAGACAGAGAGAGAGAGAGGCAGAGA